rnacentral:lncRNA from 1 species
UAAUUGUUAAAUGGUUAAGAUAUAAUGUAACAUUUUUCUCUGAUUAAAAAAGUAAUGUAAGCUUAUUUUAAUAAAUUGGGAAAAUACAGAAACGUGCUGGAAUCACCUGGAACUCAUCACUCAGCUAUAAUGACCAUUAUUUAAAGUAUUUAAUUUUUUUGUGCCUGUACAGAAUCAUUGUGUGUGAUUAUACAUAUAUUAUGUAAUAUUUAAUUCUGAAUUCUACCGUUUACCCCUUAACAUUGUUGUACAAAUAUUUUCCCCAUGUUAUUGAAUAUUCUUGGACUACAGUAGGAAUGGUUAAGGCUUUGAUUGGUCAAUUAAUAAAAUUAUUUGAUCCUUGGCAUGGCAAGAUGUUUGGUGCUUCCACGUGAACACUGCAUAAAAGAUUCUCUUCUUGUUGUUUAUUAAAAAUAAAGAUAUCUCUAUUUCCUCCGCAGGGUGAUAGCUGUUUGAAGGCAAUUAGGAUCUGUAUGCUCUGUAUUAAGAAAAAUAUUGUCAGCUGUCUGGUGCUCCCUUUUCUGUUUUUAAAAUUUAUGUCUUGUACAUUUUCUUUUUUCUCCUGGUAGAUCAACAUCAUAGAAGUAAUUAAACCUCAGUAAGAAAGGUAAUUCCUACAAAUCUGGAGGGUUUAAUUCAAGCUGGUGCUGAAUAUAAAUGCAAUGUUUUACAGACUGCAAAUCAUCCCUGAUACUCACAUAUAUCCUUUCUUUCCAGGGCACCAGCUCCACAAUGGCCAUCACUGAGCACAUAGAGGAGUGAAAUUUAAGGGGGCAGAGUGGAGCGUUCAUAGAUUCGAGUUCAACAUGAUCGAAGAUGGAAGGUAGAAGGCAGAAGGCAUGUGUGAUCCAUUUACUUUGGACAACAAGUACAUGGUCUACAAGGUGUCCACAUUGGCCUCUGGGAACCACGGACAGGGCCAAUGUAUAAUCACGGAGUUGUGCAAGGAUCAGCAUCCCAUGUUUACACUGACACUGCAAGUGAACAGAUAAAGAGGUUGAGAAGUGAAGAGAUGUCAUCCUGCUCAUCAGCAAUGGCAAGUGCUCAUUCCCAGGAUUUCUCAUUAGGUGAGAGGUUACUAUCCUCCUUUCCACUGUUGUCUUGUUCCUGA